GGAUUUAUUUUAGAAGUUCAGAAACUUUUAAAUCCGAAGUCCAGUUCUACUCAUGCUAUGAGUUUGUGUUGUCCUUUCCAGGAAGUUCACUUGUCAUGCCCUAGGGCUCUCGUCUCACAGUAACAGCCAACAGGGGAUGCCCGGGUAGAGUAGAGGAACACUACUUGAUCGAGCCUCCUAUGCUAUAUCUAAGAUGUGGAAUGAUGAUCUGUUUAAUGUGCGAUGGUGCUAGCUUGGGAGAAUAAAGGGGUCUAGUGUCCACUGUCCAGUAAGCAUUCAGCCGCUGCAUCAACCAGGUGCCGCCGCAAGCUCGACCAAGCGUACUCUGCCCUUUCUUUAGAGCUCAUCAGUUCACAUUUUACAGAUCAUCAGUUCACGCUGUGCAGCAGUUCACUGAGGCGUUGCCCUCAACGCUGGAGCUGUGCAGCCCUGGGAGACAGAAUUGUGAAGUCGGGAAAGCUAUAGCUUUGAAGUUCAUAGAUAUCUCAAUUUAUAGUUUUGGUUGAGAAAUUGAAUAAGUGAUGUGAACCAGAUUUGUCUUUCUAUUGUUUUGUUUCUCUCGCUUUGUUAAUGGUUUAGUGUUGAGACCGAAUGGAUGCGGUUCAUUGUAUGAAUUUUACGAGUUCACUUUUUAAGUACCAAAAAGUACACCGUGUAUACUGAAA